GACGAAGGGGGCUAGUGUUGUUCGGAAUUACUGGGCGUAAAGCGAGUGUAGGUGGUUGUCCAAGUUGGAUGUGAAAGCCUUGAGCUCAACUCAAGAAAUGCAUUCAGGACUGGGCGGCUAGAGGACCGGAGAGGAUAGUGGAAUUCCCAGUGUAGUGGUGAAAUACGUAGAGAUUGGGAAGAACACCAGUGGCGAAGGCGGCUAUCUGGACGGUUUCUGACACUAAGACUCGAAAGCGUGGGGAGCAAACAGG
rnacentral:rRNA from 1 species